AAUGAACGUUGGCGGCGUGGAUUAGGCAUGCAAGUCGAGCGAGAAGAGUUUGGUAGCUUGCUAUUGAACUCGGAAAGCGGCGAAAGGGAGAGUAACGAGUAGUUAUGUGCCCCAGGGUUCGGAAUAGCCACGGGAAACUGUGGGUAAUGCCGAAUAACAUCUCCGGAUCAAAGGUGUGAUUCCGCCCUGGGAGCGGACUGCGUCCUACUAGCUAGUUGGCGGGGUAAUGGCCCACCAAGGCAACAAUGGGUAGCGGGUGUGAGAGCAUGACCCGUCUCACUGGGACUGAGACACUGCCCAGACACCUACGGGUGGCUGCAGUCGAGAAUCUUCGGCAAUGGGCGAAAGCCUGACCGAGCGACGCCGCGUGCGGGAUGAAGGCCCUCGGGUUGUAAACCGCUGUCGUAGGGGAGGAAGGCUCCAUGAAGAAUGGGGUUUGACCUAUCCUAGGAGGAAGUACGGGCUAAGUUCGUGCCAGCAGCCGCAGUAA
rnacentral:rRNA from 1 species